GUUCAGUGUUUAUCAUCUUUGCUUAUCGUGGCUUCUUUUUCUAUUAGCAGAUGAGAGACCCCUUGAAUUGCUUGCUAAAGCAUAUGCUAUCAACUCUUUUGACAUAGAUCCUCAGAACCCCUCUGAUGUUGUUUUCACGUUAGAAUGGGAACCAAUCGGUGUCCUACCUUGUGGCGAGAAGAAAGAUAAUUUUUACUACCAAGGUAUCUCAGUCAGAAUUCUAGGCUCAUUCAUACAUUCACUACAAUGCCUUCGAACUCAUGAACGUUUAUCUCUGGCUCUAUUGUGGUGGGUUACAUGAAUAGAGUUUUUGCAUGUUCUUCGUUUUAUAUGGUGACAUACUUGUUACUAUGUGACAUUGUUUGAUGAAACCCUUGCGGCAUUGUAUUAUUUA